GGGGACUGUGGCUCAGCAUUAGAACUACUGCUUGGCAUGCAGAAGGUCCCAGGUUCAAUUCCCGGCAUCUCUA
rnacentral:tRNA from 1 species